UCACUUCUCAAUUAUUUAUGCGUGUUGUUGUACCAUCCUUUUGCUCAAUCUCUCUCCUCUGCAUCUCUUUUUUUAUCACUUCAUCAACGACUUCUUCCUUUGCUAAUUUGUUUCCUCCAAAACUCAUUUCUCAUUCGCCUCCUAUUUAUGGCUUCAUCUCCUUAUUUUCCACCUUCAUCAACGACUUCUUCGAGCAUAUGCAUGCUCCUUGUAUUUUGAAAAGUCUCCACCUUCAAGAUCUCUCUUUGCUUAUCCUUCGACGACAGUUUCAAAGUGCUUUAGUGCAAUUAGAUCUAGAUUUAAUCAUUCAAGGUUAUGCUAUUGAUAAUCAUGGAAGGAAUACAGAGUACAAGAUACACUAUUAAUGUAUGGUUGUAUGGAGUAUAUACUUGUAAAUUAUUUAAUAAGCUACCAAUUGUAAAUUUUAGUAAUUAUUUUGUAAAUUUCAAUAAUUAAUCUAUGUUGGUUUGUUUAAUUAUAUAUUCAAAGUUUACAUUUUA